GACUUCCUCUUCCGGGACAAAAGUUAAUCUAGCUCGAGAGACUUAGUCAGCCUUGGGGGGCGCGGCCUUGGGGCUGCUCGGGAUGACGUAAGGGCGGAGCGGGGCAGGGCGCUUUCAGACCCCGCAGCAAGUGUUAGUCCCACAGACCCACUCCGCUGUCAGCUCGGCGCCGGGGAGCGCGCGCCCUGCUCCCCCGGGGCUGCUCCGAAGGGCUCGCCCCUGAUCAGAGCUAACGCAGGGCUCGCGCUGCCUGUCGGGGCAUCAGCAGCUCUUCCCGGUUAGGCCAUGCCCACACAUAGUGUGGACGUUUGGUUCCAUGAGGACAACCAGCGGCGGCGCACCUUGCCAUGGUGCCCAAGGAAUGGGCCAUGCAAGUUACCCCAGGGGCAGUAGGGGAGGUUGGGGCCAGUCCUGGGAGCCUCCUGGGGCUGCAGUAGCAGCAAUUCUGCCUUUGCGGAGCCUGGCUGGAAGCUGCAGUGCAGCUCUGGGUGGCCCAGCUCCGGUGGCAUGUGCUGCCCCCAUGUGUGUUGCUCUGUUUUUAUUCUCUGUGGGUUUUUUUGGCAUAUCCAGGGGUCAAAAAACCCUCUGUUCUACUCCCUUUCAGCUUGGAGAACAACUGAACGUGUGGUAUGUGGCACUGCCAACAUGUCUGUUUUGCCACAUACUGCACGGUUGCACUUGUCUGUCUGGACAUGCCAUAGAGUCCUAGGAAGAGAAUCAUUCCAACUGAGCCAUUUACAGCCUAAACUGCCCAUAAAGGUGACAAUAUUUGGAUCUUGGGGAGCACUGGAUUUGCAGCUGAAUGAAGGCUUUAACCUGUGGCUAGCAAAAGCUGCUGACCACAAGGCAGAAUGAUAUCUAAGCCAGCCAUUUGCUUAUGCUAAGUAACCAUCCUAACUGUGUCAACCAUUUUCUGAUAAAAAGCAGCAAGUGAGUCUGUGUGAGUCUGUGAAUGAGGUGAAGCUUUAGAAAUGUGGAAGAUGGUACAAAAUGAGACAGAAAAACAGAUUGGAAUAUGAAAACAACACAUAAUUGGUAACAGAAUCUGAGAUGAACAUAUGUGAAAAGGUGAAUGGUGAUUGGUGAAGAAGCCUCCAGAAGCUUCCAGGUUUUGGUCAAAGUCCACCCAUUGACAGAAGAAGUAAAAUCAAGGUCUUGGACAUGCACUCAUAGCGAAGAGACAUGUAAAUGAAUAAAAUGCAUAGGCAAUUCCAUGUUAAUGAAACAAACACGAAACAGAGGCAGAGCUUAAGAUAGGAGGAGAAAUGGGUGGAACAAAAGGAGGGACAGAGGUGGAAUGAAUGUUAAUGAGCAUGAAUCAAGGUGUAUAAAAUGUGGAAAGAACUAUUGUUUGUCGCAGGUCCCCGGUUUGCUGGGUUUUUGGGACCUUUACCCAAAGCUGUCUCCAUUCUGAAUAAAGCUGUUGCAAGCAAUGUGUGCAAGUAGUGUUUGCUCCCUGCUUGCUCUGGCUAAAAUGAGUAACAGGACCUAUGAGUGAUUGGAUCAUCAUCUCCCUAGUCAUUGGGCGCCAUGUAGAGUUGGGUUCUAAUACUGCCCAGUGUUUAUCAAGGCUUGUGGUAUGAGAGCUCUCUCUCCUUGGGCUUAUGCAGGCUUUCACGCUAAAAGUAUGCAGGACUGUUACCUGAGCAUAGUAAUGCAGGGGUAUCCCACUUCUUCAGCUUGAAGGGAAAAAUAUUUCAAGAUGUUAAGGGGCCAGAGUCAGAAGGGAAGAUACAAUUUACAGCUGUUUCUACCUUCAGUUACCUCUUGCCUCCUGAACCUUUGAAAUUGGGAGCGUAACAGCAGUAGAGGUUUAUGCUAUCAACAUUUGUGUCCAAAACUGCUCACCUAUCUUUUCAAAGUACAAAAUGUGCUUGGAGAAGAAUGUGUUGAACUGCUUUUUGAUUCCCACUUUUAUGAACCUAGCAAUCGGAAAUACACUUGUCUGUUUCUUCUCAAACUGACCCUUGGGAAACUGUUGUCCUCAGUCUGAAACCUGUUUCCUUUCCUAGAAACCCAGUCCUGCUUUUAUAAAUCUAGUGUCGCUGGACUCAGCCCAUCUACACUUCUGCAUACCCUCCUCUUCUAUGAAGGCUACAGGCUUCCAGUCUUAUAGUCUCUCACUUACCUCAAAAGGACCACCAACCCAAAAUUGGGAUUUCUAUUCUCAUGCAGCCUCUUGUCAAAUCUCACAGAUACAAGAGAAUCUCAUAUUUCAUUUAAACAAAUAAAUGUCUUUUGUCGUUGCAAAGCUUAAAAAAAUGUGGCUUCUGAAGAACCCAACACAAAGAGCAAAUGAACAGAGCCACCAGCUUAUUUUAAACAUUUCAUGAUUUAUAUACCAGUUUCUUGAUUUUGUAGGAUCUGACUUAUGGAUUUGAACACUAAACAUAGAAUCAUGGAGAAGUAGGGCUGGAAGGGAUCUUGAGAGGUUAUCUAAUCAAACUGCCUGCCUGGGGUAAGAUCAUACCUAGCCAAACCAUCUUAUAGAAAUCUAUGGUUGGUGACAUUUGGGACCUAUUUCCAGUUGAGAAUAAUGUUCCAAUACAUGUAUUCUUUUAAACACAGCCAUAAUAAGACCUAAAGUCAUGACUUAACUGCUUCUGGCCACGAGCCCCCUCCCCCAGGCUCCCCACGGGUGCCCUGCCUGCACCAGCUUUGGCCCUUUAAGAAAAAAACAAACAAGAUAAGCCCUGGGACUCACCGCUCCUGCAGCAGCCUCAGAACUUUGGGGGCUCGUGGAGAGCCCCCCACGUGGUAGGGGGCAGAAGGGAUUGGCCCCCCCCAGCAGGAGUGGUGAGUGUAGGGUUUUUUCAGGGGGUUUUUUCCUUAAAGGGUCAGAGCUGGCCUGGGCGGGGCAUCCGUUGUGGGGCUGGGGAGCGAGGGAGGUCAGGGGGCUUGUGCAGAGCCUCACAUGUAGCAUGGGGCUGUGGGAAGCAGUGGGGAUUGCCCCCCCACUUGGCAGCACCUGCUGAGUAGGGGAUUUUUUUUAAAGAAGUGCCGGGAGCUGGGGUGGGUGGGGCAGCCAUUGCCAGACUGGGAGAGCAGGCGGGGGAUGGGCCUGCCCUGACUGAUUUGGAGAUUCAGCUGAAUCGAAUCGUGACAGUGAUUCGAAUCACUGAAUUGAAUCACAGAGGUGGGCAAUUAUUUUAUGUGGAGGGUUGCUUAAUGAGUUUUGGUUAGCUGUUGAGGGCAGCAUGGGUGGAUCCGUCCCUUGACGGUUGGUCUGUCCCCCAGUCACCAUAUUGGGACUGGAAGUCCCACCCCAACCCCUGACCUUUGCCACCAGAAGCCCCUCCCCUUGUCCCUGGAAGUACUCCUUUUGUGGGGGAGGGAGCUGCAAUCUUGAAAUCAACCCCCCUCCCCAUCAUAUUAAAAAAAAAAAAUCUACUAUAACUUACUUUAAUUUUAUUUAAAAAUAUUUUUGUACUGAUUUAUGCAUGUUUGUGAAAUGUAUCUAGAGGUGAUUGCAUAAUAGCUCAAAAUACAGUAAAGAAUCACAGAGGUGGGCUCAGCAUGAAUGAGAAUGAUUGGGAAUAAUUGAAAUACAAUGAAAUACAAUGGUAGCAGAUCUCUACCUGACUGGGCCAUCACCUCACAUUGAUUCAUCCAGGAACCACGGACCUCACCCAGGAACAGAGACAAGACCAGCAUUUGAAAGACAAAAGACCCUGCAAAACCAGCAACUCUCACCAUUACAGACACCUGAAACUGCACAUCCCUGCAUGGAGCGCACAUGCUUAGUUUGCCAAGGGCUGACCCAUGCCUGGGCAUGCCUCCUGUCACUAGGGUCACACAAGGUAUGCCCCUAUACCCAGUGGGACGUCCUCUCCAUCUGGACCAGCACCAUGCCACACCACCUAUCCACCCCAGAGGCCCUGCCAGCGAACCCCUCUGGACAACACCUACUGGACAAGGACCCCUUUCCAGCCUGGAUAGGUAGAUAUUACCUGCACACCUCCUUCUACAAUUUGGAUUCUCUCUCUCUCUGUCUCUCUCUCUCCUCCUGGACUUCAGUGGACUUCAGCCCCUGCAUCAAGCCUCUCUAACCCCUGCUGCCAUUGUAUGUGCAUGUGUGUGUGUGUGUGGGUGCAAGAGAACCAAUCUGACAUUGUGUAACCAUCUCCCUUGUUCAAUAAAACCACUGUCAUUUGCAACCCUGA